UACGUAGGGGGCUAGCGUUGUCCGGAAUCAUUGGGCGUAAAGCGCGUGUAGGCGGUCCGGUAAGUCCGCUGUGAAAGUCGAGGGCUCAACCCUCGAAUGCCGGUGGAUACUGUCGGGCUUGAGUACGGGAGAGGCGAGUGGAAUUCCUGGUGUAGCGGUGAAAUGCGUAGAUAUCUGGAGGAAUACCGGUGGCGAAGGCGGCAUCCUGGACCGGCAUUGACGCUGAGGAGCGAAAGCUAGGGGAGCAAACGGG
rnacentral:rRNA from 1 species